GACGAACGCUGGCGGCGUGCUUAACACAUGCAAGUCGAACGGUGAAGCGCCUUCCUUUUUGGUGGGUGUGGAUGAGUGGCGAACGGGUGAGUAACACGUGAGUAACCUGCCCCCUUCUUCUGGAUAACCGCAUGAAAGUGUGGCUAAUACGGGAUAUUCUGGGUCUGUCGCAUGAUGGGUCUGGGAAAGAUAUUGUUUCGGUGGGGGAUGGGCUCGCGGCCUAUCAGCUUGUUGGUGGGGUGAUGGCCUACCAAGGCGGUGACGGGUAGCCGGCCUGAGAGGGUGGACGGUCACACUGGUACUGAGACACGGCACAGACUCCUACGGGAGGCAGCAGUGGGGAAUAUUGCACAAGGGGCGCAAGCCUGAUGCAGCGACGCCGCGUGAGGGAUGGAGGCCUUCGGGUUGUGAACCUCUUUCGCCAGUGAAGCAGGCCUGCCUCGUUUGUGGGUGGGUUGACGGUAGCUGGAUAAGAAGCGCCGGCUAACUACGUG
rnacentral:rRNA from 1 species